AUGUUCACUGCAGCAGCACAUAUACUAAAUCUGGAAAAACACAGAGCAGAUUAGCAUGACCACUGCACAAGGAUGACAUGCAAAUUCGUAAAGUAUCCAUAUUUUU
rnacentral:snRNA from 1 species